UACGAAGGGUGCAAGCGUUAAUCGGAAUUACUGGGCGUAAAGGGUGCGUAGGCGGUUCGUUAAGUCUGUCGUGAAAUCCCCGGGCUCAACCUGGGAAUGGCGAUGGAUACUGGCGAGCUAGAGUGUGUCAGAGGAUGGUGGAAUUCCCGGUGUAGCGGUGAAAUGCGUAGAGAUCGGGAGGAACAUCAGUGGCGAAGGCAGCCCCCUGGGCUAACACUGACGCUGAUGCACGAAAGCGUGGGGAGCAAACAGG
rnacentral:rRNA from 1 species